CGGAUUGUAGUCUGCAACUCGACUACAUGAAGCUGGAAUCGCUAGUAAUCGCAGAUCAGAAUGCUGCGGUGAAUACGUUCCCGGGUCUUGUACACACCGCCCGUCACACCAUGGGAGUCGGAUAUGCCCGAAGCCAGUGACCCAACCGUAAGGAGGGAGCUGUCGAAGGUGGAGCCGAUAACUGGGGUGAAGUCGUAACAAGGUAAC
rnacentral:rRNA from 1 species